ACGCUGGCGGCAGGCUUAACACAUGCAAGUCGAACGGUAGCAGGAGGAAGCUUGCUUUCUUGCUGACGAGUGGCGGACGGGUGAGUAAUGCUUGGGAAUCUGGCUUAUGGAGGGGGAUAACUACGGGAAACUGUAGCUAAUACCGCGUAGUGUCGAGAAACGAAAGUGCGGGACCGCAAGGCCGCAUGCCAUGAGAUGAGCCCAAGUGGGAUUAGGUAGUUGGUGGGGUAAAGGCCUACCAAGCCUGCGAUCUCUAGCUGGUCUGAGAGGAUGGCCAGCCACACUGGAACUGAGACACGGUCCAGACUCCUACGGGAGGCGGCAGUGGGGAAUAUUGCGCAAUGGGGGGAACCCUGACGCAGCCAUGCCGCGUGAAUGAAGGAGGCCUUCGGGUUGUAAAGUUCUUUCGGUAUUGAGGAAGGAGUGUAUGUUAAUAGCAUACAUUAUUGACGUUAAAUACAGAAGAAGCACCGGCUAACUCCGUGCCAGCAGCCGCGGUAAUACGGAGGGUGCGAGCGUUAAUCGGAAUAACUGGGCGUAAAGGGCACGCAGGCGGUUAUUUAAGUGAGGUGUGAAAGCCCCGGGCUUAACCUGGGAAUUGCAUUUCAGACUGGGUAACUAGAGUACUUUAGGGAGGGGUAGAAUUCCACGUGUAGCGGUGAAAUGCGUAGAGAUGUGGAGGAAUACCGAAGGCGAAGGCAGCCCCUUGGGAAUGUACUGACGCUCAUGUGCGAAAGCGUGGGGAGCAAACAGGAUUAGAUACCCUGGUAGUCCACGCUGUAAACGCUGUCGAUUUGGGGAUUGGGCUUAAAGCUUGGUGCCCGUAGCUAACGUGAUAAAUCGACCGCCUGGGGAGUACGGCCGCAAGGUUAAAACUCAAAUGAAUUGACGGGGGCCCGCACAAGCGGUG
rnacentral:rRNA from 1 species